AUUGAACGCUGGCGGCAGGCCUAACACAUGCAAGUCGAACGAGUGGCGGACGAGUGAGUAAUGUCUGGGAAACUGCCUGAUGGAGGGGGUUAACUACUGGAAACGGUAGCUAAUACCGCAUACCAUCAGAUGUGCCCAGAUGGGAUUAGCUAGUGGGUGGGGUAACGGCUCACCAAGGCGACGAACCCUAGCUGGUCGGAGAGGAUGGCCAGCCGCACGGGAACGGAGACACGGUCCAGACGCCUACGGGAGGCAGCAGUGGUGAAUAGGGCACAAUGGGCGCAAGUCUGAUGCAGCCGUGCAGCGUGUAUGAAGAAGGCCUUCGGGUUGUAAAGUACUUUCAGCGGGGAGGCGUUACCCGCAGAAGAAGCACCGGCUAACUCCGUGCCAGCAGCCGCGGUAAUUC
rnacentral:rRNA from 1 species